UACGUAGGGGGCAAGCGUUGUCCGGAAUUAUUGGGCGUAAAGCGCGCGUAGGCGGCCCGGUAAGUCCGUUGUGAAAGUCAAAGGCUCAACCUUUGAAUGCCGAUGGAUACUGCCGGGCUAGAGUCCGGAAGAGGCGAGUGGAAUUCCCGGUGUAGCGGUGAAAUGCGCAGAUAUCAGGAGGAACACCGGUGGCGAAGGCGGCGCUCUGGGCCGGUACUGACGCUGAGAAGCGAAAGCGUGGGGAGCGAACAGG
rnacentral:rRNA from 1 species